AGCAGCCGCGGUAAUUCCAGCUCCAAUAGCGUAUAUUAAAGUUGUUGCAGUUAAAAAGCUCGUAGUUGAAUUUCGGGGUUAGUAGAUUGGUCAUGCCUCUGGUAUGCACUGGCCUUACUGAUUCCUCCUUCCUGAUGAACCGUAAUGCCAUUAAUUUGGUGUUGCGGGGAAACUGGACUGUUACUUUGAAAAAUUAGAGUGUUUAAAGCAGGCUAACGCUUGAAUACAUUAGCAUGGAAUAAUGAAAUAGGACGUUCGAUCUUAUUUUGUUGGUUUCUAGGAUUGACGUAAUGAUUAAUAGGGAUAGUUGGGGGCAUUAGUAUUCAAUUGUCAGAGGUGAAAUUCUUGGAUUUAUUGAAGACUAACUACUGCGAAAGCAUUUGCCAAGGAUGUUUUCAUUAAUCAAGAACGAAAGUUAGGGGAUCGAAGACGAUCAGAUACCGUCGUAGUCUUAACCAUAAACUAUAGCCGACUAGGGAUCGGAUGAUGUUAAUUUUAUGACUCAUUCGGCGCC
rnacentral:rRNA from 1 species